AGCAGGCGCGCAAAUUACCCAAUCCUGAUACAGGGAGGUAGUGACAAUAAAUAACAAUACAGAACUUUCGAGUUUUGUAAUUGGAAUGAGAACAAUUUAAAUCCCUUAACGAGGAACAAUUGGAGGGCAAGUCUGGUGCCAGCAGCCGCGGUAAUUCCAGCUCCAAUAGCGUAUAUUCAAGUUGUUGCAGUUAAAAAGCUCGUAGUUGAAUUUUGGCGCUGGUUGUGUGGUUUGGACUCGCGUUCAAUACUGCAGGACUGGCGCUUUCCUUCUAGGGAACUAGCGUGCCAUUAAUUUGGUGGGCUAGGGAUCUAGGACUGUUACUUUGAAAAAAUUAGAGUGUUUAAAACAGGCUUAUGCUUGAAUACAUUAGCAUGGAAUAACGGAAUAGGACUUUGUCUUAUUUUGUUGGUUUAGGAGACAAAGUAAUGAUUAAUAGGGACGGUUAGGGGCAUUAGUAUUCCACAGUCAGAGGUGAAAUUCUUGGAUUUGUGGAAGACUAACUUCUGCGGAAGCAUUUGCCAGGCACGCUUUCAUUAAUCAGGAACGAAAGUUAGGGGAUCGAAGACGAUCAGAUACCGUCGUAGUCUUAACAGUAAACGAUGCCGAUUCAGGAUCCUAGGGUGUUAUAUUAUUGACCUCUAGGGCACUGUAUGAGAAAUCAAAAUUUUUGGGUUCCGGGGGGAGUAUGGUCGCAAGGCUGAAACUUAAAGGAAUUGACGGAAGGGCACCACCAGGAGUGGAGCCUGCGGCUUAAUUUGACUCAACACGGGGAAACUCACCAGGUCCAGACAUAAGUAGGAUUGACAGAUUGAUAGCUCUUUCUUGAUUUUAUGGGUGGUGGUGCAUGGCCGUUCUUAGUUGGUGGAGUGAUUUGUCUGGUUAAUUCCGUUAACGAACGAGACCUUAACCUGCUAAAUAGUUGUGCCAACUUUGGUUGGCAUCGAAUUCUUAGA
rnacentral:rRNA from 1 species